GAUGAACGCUAGCGGCAGGCCUAACACAUGCAAGUCGAGGGGUAGAGUUCUUCGGAACUUGAGACCGGCGCACGGGUGCGUAACGCGUAUGCAAUCUACCUUAUACAGGGGAAUAGCCCAGAGAAAUUUGGAUUAAUGCCCCAUAGUAUUAUUGAAUGGCAUCAUUUGAUAAUUAAAGUUCCAACGGUAUAAGAUGAGCAUGCGUCCCAUUAGUUAGUUGGUAAGGUAACGGCUUACCAAGACAAUGAUGGGUAGGGGUCCUGAGAGGGAGAUCCCCCACACUGGUACUGAGACACGGACCAGACUCCUACGGGAGGCAGCAGUGAGGAAUAUUGGUCAAUGGGCGCAAGCCUGAACCAGCCAUGCCGCGUGCAGGAAGAAGCAUCUAUGGUGUGUAAACUGCUUUUGUACAGAACGAAAAGGUCUCUAUUAAUACUAGGGCUCAUGACGGUACUGUAAGAAUAAGCACCGGCUAACUACGUGCCAGCA
rnacentral:rRNA from 1 species